GUGCCAGCAGCCGCGGUAAUACAGAGGGUGCGAGCGUUAAUCGGAAUUACUGGGCGUAAAGCGUGUGUAGGUGGUUGGAUAAGUUAGAUGUGAAAUCCCCGAGCUUAACUUGGGAAUUGCGUUUAAGACUGUUUAACUAGAGUACUGUAGAGGAUAGUGGAAUUUCCAGUGUAGCGGUGAAAUGCGUAGAUAUUGGAAGGAACACCAGUGGCGAAGGCGACUGUCUGGAUAGAUACUGACACUGAGACACGAAAGCGUGGGGAGCAAACAGGAUUAGAUACCCUGGUAGUCC
rnacentral:rRNA from 1 species